GACGAAAGUCUGACGGAGCAACGCCGCGUGAGUGAUGAAGGUUUUCGGAUCGUAAAACUCUGUUGUUAGGGAAGAACAAGUACCGUUCGAAUAGGGCGGUACCUUGACGGUACCUAACCAGAAAGCCACGGCUAACUACGUGCCAGCAGCCGCGGUAAUACGUAGGUGGCAAGCGUUGUCCGGAAUCAUUGGGCGUAAAGCGCGCGCAGGUGGUUCCUUAAGUCUGAUGUGAAAGCCCCCGGCUCAACCGGGGAGGGUCAUUGGAAACUGGGGAACUUGAGUGCAGAAGAGGAAAGUGGAAUUCCACGUGUAGCGGUGAAAUGCGUAGAGAUGUGGAGGAACACCAGUGGCGAAGGCGACUUUCUGGUCUGUAACUGACACUGAGGCGCGAAAGCGUGGGGAGCGAACAGGAUUAGAUACCCUGGUAGUCCACGCCGUAAACGAUGAGUGCUAAGUGUUAGGGGGUUUCCGCCCCUUAGUGCUGCAGCAAACGCAUUAAGCACUCCCGCCUGGGGAGUAC
rnacentral:rRNA from 1 species